GAUGAACGCUGACAGAAUGCUUAACACAUGCAAGUCAACUUGAAUUUGGGUUUUUAACUUAGAUAUGGGUGGCGGACGGGUGAGUAACGCGUAAAGAACUUGCCUCACAGCUAGGGACAACAUUUAGAAAUGAAUGCUAAUACCUGAUAUUAUGAUUUUAAGGCAUCUUGGAAUUAUGAAAGCUAUAAGCACUGUGAGAGAGCUUUGCGUCCCAUUAGCUAGUUGGAGAGGUAACAGCUCACCAAGGCGAUGAUGGGUAGCCGGCCUGAGAGGGUGAACGGCCACAAGGGGACUGAGACACGGCCCUUACUCCUACGGGAGGCAGCAGUGGGGAAUAUUGGACAAUGGACCGAGAGUCUGAUCCAGCAAUUCUGUGUGCACGAUGAAGUUUUUCGGAAUGUAAAGUGCUUUCAGUUGGGAAGAAAGAAAUGACGGUACCAACAGAAGAAGUGACGGCUAAAUACGUGCCAGCAGCCGCGGUAAUACGUAUGUCACGAGCGUUAUCCGGAUUUAUUGGGCGUAAAGCGCGUCUAGGUGGUUAUGUAAGUCUGAUGUGAAAAUGCAGGGCUCAACUCUGUAUUGCGUUGGAAACUGUAUAACUAGAGUACUGGAGAGGUAAGCGGAACUACAAGUGUAGAGGUGAAAUUCGUAGAUAUUUGUAGGAAUGCCGAUGGGGAAGCCAGCUUACUGGACAGAUACUGACGCUAAAGCGCGAAAGCGUGGGUAGCAAACAGG
rnacentral:rRNA from 1 species